rnacentral:rRNA from 1 species
AUGGCUCACCAAGGCAAUGACGGGUAGCGGGACUGAGAGGUUGGCCCGCAACAUCGGGACUGAGACACUGCCCGGACCUCCACGGAGGGCUGCAGUAACGAAUAUUGCGCAAUGAGCGAAAGCUUGACGCAGCGACGCCGCGUGUAGGAUGAAGUCCCUCGGGAUGUAAACUACUGUCAGGGAUACGAAAGUGCAUUUCGGUGCAUUGAUCUACCCCAGAGGAAGUCACGGCUAACUUCGUGCCAGCAGCCGCGGUAAGACGAAGGUGGCAAGCGUUGUUCGGUAUUACUGGGCUUAAAGCGUGUGUAGGCGGAACAGUCAGUGUUUUGUGAAAUCCCCCGGCUUAACCGAGGAAUUGCUUGACAUACUGCUGUUCUUGAGGCAAGUAGGGGUGCACGGAACUCUUGGUGGAGCGGUGGAAUGCGUAGAUAUCAAGAGGAACGCCAGUGGUGAAGACGGUGCGCUGGGCUUGUUCUGACGCUGAGACACGAAAGCGUGGGGAGCAAACAGGAUUAGGUACCCUGGUAGUCCACGCUGUAAACGAUGCCUACUAGGUCGUGGAGGUUCUGACACCGCCACGGCCGGAGCAAAAGUAUUAAGUAGGCCGCCUGGGGAGUACGGUCGCAAGGCUAAAACUCAAAGGAAUUGACGGGGGCUCACACAAGCGGUGGAGCAUGUGGAUUAAUUCGAAACAACGCGCAGAACCUUGCCUGGGUUUGACAUGCUUGGAUGCCCUCCUGGAAACGGGAGUAAGCUGCCCUUCGGGGUGAAACUUGCACAGGUGCUGCAUGGCUGUCGUCAGCUCGUGUCGUGAGAUGUUGGGUUAAGUCCUUUAACGAGCGAAACCCUUACCGUUAGUUGCCAGCGGGUCAUGCCGGGGACUCUAGCGGGACUGCCGGUGUUAAACCGGAGGAAGGUGGGGAUGACGUCAAGUCAUCAUGGCCUUUAUGCCCAGGGCUUCACACGUGCUACAAUGGUCGGUACAGAGUGACGCGAGACCGUGAGGUGGAGCAAAUCGCAAAAAGCCGGCCCCAGUUCGGAUUGCAGGCUGUCAACUCGCCUGCAUGAAGGUGGAAUCGCUAGUAAUCGCGUGUCAGCUACAACGCGGUGAAUGUGUUCCUGAGCCUUGUACACACCGCCCGUCAAGUGAUGGGAGUUGGGAGUACCCGAAGUCGGAUUGCUAACCCGCAAGGGAAGCGCCUGCCGACGGUAAGCCCGAUGACUGGCACUAAGUCGUAACAAGGUA